rnacentral:rRNA from 1 species
UUACCAUGCAGUCGACGGUGAACUUUGGAGCUUGCUYUAAGGGGAUCAGUGGCGAACGGGUGAGUAACACGUGAGUAACCUGCCCCGGACUCUGGAAUAAGCGCUGGAAACGGCGUCUAAUACCGGAUACGAGACGCAACCGCAUGGUUAGUGUCUGGAAAGUUUUUCGGUCUGGGAUGGACUCGCGGCCUAUCAGCUUGUUGGUGAGGUAAUGGCUCACCAAGGCGACGACGGGUAGCCGGCCUGAGAGGGCGACCGGCCACACUGGGACUGAGACACGGCCCAGACUCCUACGGGAGGCAGCAGUGGGGAAUAUUGCACAAUGGGCGAAAGCCUGAUGCAGCGACGCCGCGUGAGGGAUGACGGCCUUCGGGUUGUAAACCUCUUUCAGCAGGGAAGAAGCGAAAGUGACGGUACCUGCAGAAGAAGCACCGGCUAACUACGUGCCAGCAGCCGCGGUAAUACGUAGGGUGCGAGCGUUGUCCGGAAUUAUUGGGCGUAAAGAGCUUGUAGGCGGUUUGUCGCGUCUGCUGUGAAAAUCCGGGGCUCAACCCCGGACUUGCAGUGGGUACGGGCAGACUAGAGUGUGGUAGGGGAGACUGGAAUUCCUGGUGUAGCGGUGAAAUGCGCAGAUAUCAGGAGGAACACCGAUGGCGAAGGCAGGUCUCUGGGCCACUACUGACGCUGAGAAGCGAAAGCAUGGGGAGCGAACAGGAUUAGAUACCCUGGUAGUCCAUGCCGUAAACGUUGGGCGCUAGGUGUGGGACUCAUUCCACGAGUUCCGUGCCGCAGCUAACGCA